rnacentral:rRNA from 1 species
UACGGAGGGUGCAAGCGUUGCUCGGAAUUAUUGGGCGUAAAGGGCAUGUAGGUGGUCUUAUUUGUCAGGGGUGAAAGCCUUGGGCUCAACUCAAGAAGUGCCCCUGAAACGGUAAGACUCGAGUCCUAGAGAGGGUCGUGGAAUUCCCGGUGUAGCGGUGAAAUGCGUAGAGAUCGGGAGGAACACCAGAGGCGAAGGCGGCGACCUGGAUAGGCACUGACACUCAACUGCGAAAGCGUGGGUAGCAAACAGG